rnacentral:rRNA from 1 species
UGGCGAACGGGUGAGUAACACGUGGGCAACUUGCCCAAAAGAGGGGGAUAACACUUGGAAACAGGUGCUAAUACCGCAUAACCAUAGUUACCGCAUGGUAACUAUGUAAAAGGUGGCUAUGCUACCGCUUUUGGAUGGGCCCGCGACGCAUUAGCUAGUUGGUGGGGUAAAGGCUUACCAAGGCAAUGAUGCGUAGCCGAACUGAGAGGUUGAUCGGCCACAUUGGGACUGAGACACGGCCCAAACUCCUACGGGAGGCAGCAG